rnacentral:rRNA from 1 species
UACGGGGGGGGCAAGCGUUGUUCGGAAUUACUGGGCGUAAAGGGCUUGUAGGUGGCCAACUAAGUCAGACGUGAAAUCCCUCGGCUUAACCGGGGAACUGCGUCUGAUACUGAAGGGCUUGAAUCCGGGAGAGGGAUGUGGAAUUCCAGGUGUAGCGGUGAAAUGCGUAGAUAUCUGGAGGAACACCGGUGGCGAAGGCGGCAUCCUGGACCGGCAUUGACGCUGAGGCGCGAAAGCUAGGGGAGCAAACGGG